rnacentral:rRNA from 1 species
GAGACAGCAGCAGCCGCGGGAAUACAGAGGGUGCGAGCGUUAAUCGGAUUUACUGGGCGUAAAGCGUGCGUAGGCGGCUUUUUAAGUCGGAUGUGAAAUCCCUGAGCUUAACUUAGGAAUUGCAUUCGAUACUGGGAAGCUAGAGUAUGGGAGAGGAUGGUAGAAUUCCAGGUGUAGCGGUGAAAUGCGUAGAGAUCUGGAGGAAUACCGAUGGCGAAGGCAGCCAUCUGGCCUAAUACUGACGCUGAGGUACGAAAGCAUGGGGAGCAAACAGGAUUAGAUACCCCAGUAGUCCUGUCUCUUAUACA